rnacentral:rRNA from 1 species
AACGAACGCUGGCGGCAUGCCUAACACAUGCAAGUCGAACGAAGGCUUCGGCCUUAGGGGCGCACGGGUGGGGAACGCGGGGGAAGCUGCCCUUUGCUUCGGAAUAACAGUUAGAAAUGACUGCUAAGACCGGAUGAUGUCGCAAGACCAAAGAUUUAUCGGCAAAGGAUGAGCCCGCGUAGGAUUAGCUAGUUGGUGGGGUAAAGGCCUACCAAGGCGACGAUCCUUAGCUGGUCUGAGAGGAUGAUCAGCCACGCUGGGACUGAGACCCGGCCCAGAUUCCUACGGGAGGCUGCAGUGGGGAAUAUUGGACGCUGGGCCAUAGCCUGAUCCAGCCCUGCCGCGUGAGUGUUGAAGGCCUUAGGGUUGUAAUGCUCUUUUUCACGAGACGAUAAUGACAGUACCGGGAGAAUAAGCUCCGGCUAACUCCGUG